rnacentral:rRNA from 1 species
UCCAACUUGAGAGUUUGAUCCUGGCUCAGAGCGAACGCUGGCGGCAGGCCUAAAACAUGCAAGUCGAACGCCGUAGCAAUACGGAGUGGCAGACGGGUGAGUAACACGUGGGAACGUGCCCUUUGGUUCGGAACAACACAGGGAAACUUGUGCUAAUACCGGAUAAGCCCUUACGGGGAAAGAUUUAUCGCCAAAGGAUCGGCCCGCGUCUGAUUAGCUAGUUGGUGAGGUAACGGCUCACCAAGGCUACGAUCAGUAGCUGGUCUGAGAGGAUGAUCAGCCACACUGGGACUGAGACACGGCCCAGACUCCUACGGGAGGCAGCAGUUAGGAAUCUUGGACAAUGGGCGCAAGCCUGAUCCAGCCAUGCC